rnacentral:hammerhead_ribozyme from 1 species
AUAACUGACGAGUCCCGAAUAGGACGAAACGUGCGUCCUGGAU